rnacentral:tRNA from 1 species
GAGGGAGACCUAAUUCAGGUAGGAGACGAGAAAAAAGUAGUCGCUACCAAGAAUCAAUCCCAAAAGGUCGGAGCGAGGCGAAAUUGGCUUUCAAACUAGGUUCUGGGUUCAAACAAGACCUGAAUCAGGAACAAGGGCUAUUAGCUCAGGUGGUUAGAGCGCACCCCUGAUAAGGGUGAGGUCCCUGGUUCGAGUCCAGGAUGGCCCACCUGUACAGGUGGCAAAAACAAGAGAAGCGAGGAAUCAGCACCUUAUCUUACUGACAUAGUAAGAGAGAAUGCUGGCUCUGAGUUCAGAGUCCAGAGGAACCUUGAAAACUGCAUAGAGCUAGGUGAAAAAGCCAAAAAAGAAGACCGCAAGGUCAAGCUAAUAAGGGCUAACGGUGGAUACCUAGGCAC